AUACAGAACAAGUGGCUCCUCAGGGUCACCC
rnacentral:piRNA from 1 species